rnacentral:rRNA from 1 species
UACGUAGGGCUCGAGCGUUGUCCGGAUUUAUUGGGCGUAAAGAGCUCGUAGGCGGUUCAACAAGUCGGUCGUGAAAGUUCAGGGCUCAACCCUGAAAUGUCGAUCGAUACUGUUGUGACUAGGAUACGGUAGAGGUGAGUGGAAUUCCGAGUGUAGCGGUGAAAUGCGUAGAUAUUCGGAGGAACACCAAUUGCGAAGGCAGCUCACUGGGCCGCUAUCGACGCUGAGGAGCGAAAGCUAGGGGAGCAAACAGGAUUAGAUACCCUGGUAGUCCUAGCUGUAAACGAUGGAUACUAGACGUAGGAACUGGAUUGACGGUUUCUGUGUCGUAGCUAACGCGUUAAGUAUCCCGCCUGGGGAGUACGGUCGCAAGACUAAAACUCAAAGGAAUUGACGGGACCCCGCACAAGCGGCGGAGCAUGCGGCUUAAUUCGAUGAUACCCGUAGAACCUUACCUGGACUUGACAUAUAGGGUCUAGCUAUAGAGAUAUAGUGUGCAUUAGCGCCCUAUACAGGUGGUGCAUGGCCGUCGUCAGCUCGUGUCGUGAGAUGUUGGGUUAAGUCCCGCAACGAGCGCAACCCCUAUCCUAUGUUGCCAGCAUUUAGUUGGGGACUCAUAGGAGACUGCCGGUGAUAAACCGGAGGAAGGUGGGGACGACGUCAAGUCAUCAUGCCCCUUAUGUCCAGGGCUGCACGCAUGCUACAAUGGCAAGUACAACGAGUCGCAAUACCGCGAGGUGGAGCAAAUCUCUUAAAGCUUGUCUCAGUUCGGAUAGGAGUCUGCAACUCGACUCCUUGAAGUUGGAGUCGCUAGUAAUCGCAAAUCAGCAAAGUUGCGGUGAAUACGUUCUCGGGGUU